CUAACUUUACAAUUAUAUAGACAUGAGUGUAAUGUUGAUCUAUAAUGCCUCUUGAUGUAUCUUACAGAGAAAACCUGUCCUGCAGGAUGGAAGAUGUUCAGUCAUAACUGUUAUUUCCUCUCUGAUAAGUCUGGUUCUUGGGAUAAAGGCAGAGAGGACUGUAAAGGCAAAGGAGCAGAUCUGUUGGUGAUAAACACCCCUGAAGAGCAGAAGUUUGUCUUAGAGUUUUCCAAGAAAACCAUUUGGAUUGGGUUGAACGACAGAGAUCAGGAGGGUGUCUGGAAAUGGAUAGAUGGAACUCCAUUUACUCUGAAGUACUGGGCGAUAAAUCAGCCUGAUAAUGGUGAUGGGGACCCAAUAUGGGGUGAAGAGGACUGUGUACAAAUCAAUGCUGAUCACAAUCUUGGAACGACCUGUCAUGUCAAACUUCUCUGCAAUGGAUCUGUGAAAAAAUUGCAUAACUCUGAUGGAUAACUUUUUCAAGAUCAUAUAUUUGUAAAUGCUUUUAUGUAAGCUGUUAUGCAAAGCUUUAGUAAUAAGUGCUCUUGUAUGUUUGUAAAACACCUUCACCAAAUUGUAGCUGUAGCUAAAAACCUGCAACCUUGAAAUGCACCUAUAAAUGCCAAACCUUUCACUUUUCUACUAAAAAGGAUC